rnacentral:rRNA from 1 species
AUUCCAGCUCCAAUAGCGUAUAUUUAAGUUGUUGCAGUUAAAAAGCUCGUAGUUGGAUUUUGGGUCGGGGGCACCGGUCCGCCGUUCCGGUGUGCACUGGUGGCCCCUUCCUUUCUGCCGGGGACGUGCGUCGCACUUAAUUGGGUGGCGUUCGGAGUCGGCGUUGUUACUUUGAAAAAAUUAGAGUGUUCAAAGCAAGCCAUCGCUCUGAAUACAUUAGCAUGGAAUAACAUGAUAGGACUCCGGUCUUAUUUUGUUGGUUUCCGAGACUGGAGUAAUGAUUAAGAGGGACAGUCGGGGGCACCCGUAUUUCAUUGUCAGAGGUGAAAUUCUUGGAUUUAUGAAAGACGAACUUCUGCGAAAGCAUUUGCCAAGGAUGUUUUCAUCA